ACAUGGCAAUCGGGAAAAAAAAACAUCCCCGCGCUAAUCCGCUGCGGGUAAGCGCGGGUAACGUGCGGGCGUGCGGG